rnacentral:rRNA from 1 species
AGAGUUUGAUCCUGGCUCAGGAUGAACGCUAGCUACAGGCUUAACACAUGCAAGUCGAGGGGCAGCAUGGUCUUAGCUUGCUAAGGCCGAUGGCGACCGGCGCACGGGUGAGUAACACGUAUCCAACCUGCCGUCUACUCUUGGACAGCCUUCUGAAAGGAAGAUUAAUACAAGAUGGCAUCAUGAGUCCACAUGUUCACAUGAUUAAAGGUAUUCCGGUAGACGAUGGGGAUGCGUUCCAUUAGAUAGUAGGCGGGGUAACGGCCCACCUAGUCUUCGAUGGAUAGGGGUUCUGAGAGGAAGGUCCCCCACAUUGGAACUGAGACACGGUCCAAACUCCUACGGGAGGCAGCAGUGAGGAAUAUUGGUCAAUGGGCGAGAGCCUGAACCAGCCAAGUAGCGUGAAGGAUGACUGCCCUAUGGGUUGUAAACUUCUUUUAUAAAGGAAUAAAGUCGGGUAUGCAUACCCGUUUGCAUGUACUUUAUGAAUAAGGAUCGGCUAACUCCGUGCCAGCAGCCGCGGUAAUACGGAGGAUCCGAGCGUUAUCCGGAUUUAUUGGGUUUAAAGGGAGCGUAGAUGGAUGUUUAAGUCAGUUGUGAAAGUUUGCGGCUCAACCGUAAAAUUGCAGUUGAUACUGGAUAUCUUGAGUGCAGUUGAGGCAGGCGGAAUUCGUGGUGUAGCGGUGAAAUGCUUAGAUAUCACGAAGAACUCCGAUUGCGAAGGCAGCCUGCUAAGCUGCAACUGACAUUGAGGCUCGAAAGUGUGGGUAUCAAACAGGAUUAGAUACCCUGGUAGUCCACACGGUAAACGAUGAAUACUCGCUGUUUGCGAUAUACGGCAAGCGGCCAAGCGAAAGCGUUAAGUAUUCCACCUGGGGAGUACGCCGGCAACGGUGAAACUCAAAGGAAUUGACGGGGGCCCGCACAAGCGGAGGAACAUGUGGUUUAAUUCGAUGAUACGCGAGGAACCUUACCCGGGCUUAAAUUGCAGAUGAAUUACGGUGAAAGCCGUAAGCCGCAAGGCAUCUGUGAAGGUGCUGCAUGGUUGUCGUCAGCUCGUGCCGUGAGGUGUCGGCUUAAGUGCCAUAACGAGCGCAACCCUUGUUGUCAGUUACUAACAGGUUCCGCUGAGGACUCUGACAAGACUGCCAUCGUAAGAUGUGAGGAAGGUGGGGAUGACGUCAAAUCAGCACGGCCCUUACGUCCGGGGCUACACACGUGUUACAAUGGGGGGUACAGAGGGCCGCUACCACGCGAGUGGAUGCCAAUCCCAAAAACCUCUCUCAGUUCGGACUGGAGUCUGCAACCCGACUCCACGAAGCUGGAUUCGCUAGUAAUCGCGCAUCAGCCACGGCGCGGUGAAUACGUUCCCGGGCCUUGCACACACCGCCCGUCA